GCUCAGUUGACUAAGAAUUUAAUUAAUGGGUCAUACAUGAGAUUUUAAAUUUGAACUAUACGUUUCUACAAAAAAUGUACAAAGCGAACAACUAUUUUUUCCCAAAAGAAAGGGAACACAGUCCUUUAGUAUAUUACCAUAAAAUUUUACAUAAUGUAUCUGAAUUAGGAAUCGUUGUGCGUCGGCUAUCCGAACUUUUAAGAUUUAGAUUUUACAAUCUAAGUCUUCCAAUUUAUUUGAUUUGAGUCAGUCAGCGGUAUUUUUACUUCAAAAUUUUAAUCUGUCGUUUCUUUUUACGGAUUUAGUUAGUGUACUUCCUUUAAUUCUCACGAUUAUAAAUUUAUUAAAAUAAGUAAUAAACUUAAAUUUUUGAAGUUAAAAUACUGUUAACCGGUUAAAAUCAACCAAAUUGAAAAUGUUGGAUAGUAAAAUUAAAAUUUCAAAAAAUCGAGUAGCUG
rnacentral:lncRNA from 1 species